UACGUAGGGGCCAAGCGUUGUCCGGAUUUAUUGGGCGUAAAGAGCUCGUAGGCGGUUCGGCAAGUCGAAUGUGAAAUCUCCACGCUCAACGUGGAGGGGUCAUUCGAUACUGCCGUGACUUGAGUACGGUAGGGGAGUGGAAUUCCCGGUGUAGCGGUGAAAUGCGCAGAGAUCGGGAGGAACACCCGUAGCGAAGGCGGCACUCUGGGCCGAUACUGACGCUGAGGAGCGAAAGCGUGGGGAGCGAACAGG
rnacentral:rRNA from 1 species